UAUGGCUUUUUUAUUCCUAUGUGA
rnacentral:miRNA from 1 species